rnacentral:rRNA from 1 species
AACGAACGCUAGCGGGAGGCCUAACACAUGCAAGCCGAGCGGUAUUUCUUCUUCGGGAGAGAGAGAGCGGCGUACGGGUGCGGAACACGUGUGCAACCUGCCUUUAUCUAGAGGAUAGCCUUUCGAAAGGAAGAUUAAUACUCUAUAAUAUAUUAAUUGGCAUCAAUUGAUAUUGAAAACUCCGGUGGAUAGAGAUGGGCACGCGCAAGAUUAGCUAGUUGGUGAGGUAACGGCUCACCAAGGCAAUGAUCUUUAGGGGGCCUGAGAGGGGGAUCCCCCACACUGGUACUGAGACACGGACCAGACUCCUACGGGAGGCAGCAGUGAGGAAUAUUGGUCAAUGGGUGCAAGCCUGAACCAGCCAUCCCGCGUGAAGGAUUAAGGUCCUAUGGAUUGUAAACUUCUUUUGUAUAGGGAUAAACCUACCCUCGUGAGGGUAGCUGAAGGUACUAUACGAAUAAGCACCGGCUAACUCCGUGCCAGCAGCCGCCGUAAUAC